rnacentral:rRNA from 1 species
AACCCAACACCGAUCAGCCGGUCUCGCGAAUGCCCUAGGNUUAAGUUAUGAUCAUGGCUCAGAUCCGAACGCUNUAAGGCAUGCCUUACACAUGCAAGUCGAACGGUAACAAGUCUAUCGGACGCUGACGAGUGGCGAACGGGUAGAGUAAUACAUACGGAACGUGCCCAGUCGUGGGGGAUAACUACUACGAAAGAGUAGCUAAUACCGCAUACGAUCUNGAGGAUAGAAAGCGGGGGACCUUCGGGCCUACGCGCGAUUAGGAGCGGCCGAUGGCAGAUAUAAGGUAAGUAUAGGUCAGGGACUAAAACAGCUUAACCAAAGGCCGAACGAUACUANGUAACGCUAGGAUACUAGAGAAGGACGACCCAGCCCAACAACUUAGGGAACUAGAGAACAACGGCC